UGCCAGCCGCCGCGGUAAAACCAGCACCUCAAGUGGUCAGGAUGAUUAUUGGGCCUAAAGCAUCCGUAGCCGGCGCUAUAAGUUUUCGGUUAAAUCUGUACGCUCAACGUACAGGCUGCCGGGAAUACUGUAGCGCUAGGGAGUGGGAGAGGUAGACGGUACUCGGUAGGAAGGGGUAAAAUCCUUUGAUCUAUUGAUGACCACCUGUGGCGAAGGCGGUCUACCAGAACACGUCCGACGGGUGAGGGAUGAAAGCGGGGGGAGAAACCCGGAUUAGAUC
rnacentral:rRNA from 1 species